GCUUGUCUCAAAGAUUAAGCCAUGCAUGUCUAAGUACAAGCCUCAGUAAGGUGAAACCGCGAAUGGCUCAUUAAAUCACACCUAAUCUACUGGAAAGUUACUAGUUACUUGGAUAACUGAGGUAAUUCUUGAGCUAAUACAUGCGAAAAAUCUCGACUCACGGAGAGAUGCUUUUGUUAGCCCAGACCAACGCGGUCGCUCUCGGGCGGCCGCAACCAGUGGUGACUCUGGACAACUUUGUGCCGAUCGCACGGCCCUGGUGCCGGCGACGUAUCUUUCAAGUGUCUGCCCUAUCAACUGUCGAUGGUACGUGCUAUGCCUACCAUGGUGAUAACGGGUAACGGGGAAUCAGGGUUCGAUUCCGGAGAGGGAGCAUGAGACACGGCUACCACAUCCAAGGAAGGCAGCAGG
rnacentral:rRNA from 1 species